rnacentral:tRNA from 3 species
UGGGGUGUAGCUAAGUUGGUACAGCACUCCGCUGUUAACGGAGCGAUCGCAGGUUCGAUCCCUGUCGCCCCAGUCA